ACAUCAGAACUACACUUCCCAGGUACCCCUGCAGCAGUUGGGAUCAGGUGUGUCCAAGGCAACUGGUACAGGAGGGUCAAACUGUGGUCAGAGUCUUAGGAUCAAAGCCUAAGAGUGGAACAGCCUCCAAAGGCUGAGCUCAACCACGUGUCCCAAGUCCAACCAAAGGGAACAGUGGUGAGAAGUAGGGGUGAUUUCAACCACAAAGGGGUCCUGGGACCUUGUCUCCAUCCCUGAGCUACCAAGUGAGCUUUAGGCUUAAAUGGAGGACGUGCUGGGUCAAGAGACACAUGCAGAAUUCUUCAGUCCUGCCCGACACGUGGCCUGGUUGAACUUGUCUAAGUACUGGUCCUUCUAGGUGGCAUGAAGAAGCCCUUGUAGCUUGAGGGGACAGCUGGUCACUUUUCAGGAGAUGGUUUCUCCUGCUUUAGGGUACAGGCCUGUCAUCAUGGAUAACUGCCCUGCUAUGAGAGUGAUCUGUCCUGUGAGACUUGGCUGUUCCUAGAAUCCAAGGGCUAAUGUAAAAAGAAAGCUCUUAUCUGUCUACCUGGAGGGAUGCUCAAAUGUUACUUCCUGCCAGUGUCUCCUCUGGCCCCAUCCUGAAGCUCACAGCCUGGACCUGAGCAUCCCCAAGGACACAAUGAUCACUGUCCAUGCCGGCCGGCCUCAGGAGAGUCCUAAUGAUGUCGCCAUCAGUUCAGUGUUGGGACCCCAGGAUGAUUGGGAGAGUCAAAUGUCCACCUCGAUGGAGCCACACCCCAUCUCUACUACUACUACGUAGCUCAGCUCCUACACAUGGAUUUCUGGCUGUGAAGAGGGUGUUUCCAACAACUGAGGAGAGUUGGAGACUUGGGAUCUCAGUGGACUGUCAUUGCCCCACCCCGUCAACACUCCUUCCCAUGCAGUAGGGACGGACCACGGACACUUCAGUAGGCUCCUACUCUGGAUACCAGUGUGAGAAUACGGGUGAGCAGGAAACACAUCGUUCUUAAAAGGUUUGGUGAAGCUUCAUUGUGCCUCUUAGGGCCUCGAUUGUGAUGAAGAAGGCGGGAGGCAACAGGACCUUGCUGAGCUGGAGGAGGAAUGAACGAGGCCCCUUGGCAGGAGGCUUCCAGGGAAGUCUGGCAGCCUCAGCAGCACGAGAAGGAACCCUGCAGGGUAGGUCCCAGCCCACAUUCAGACCCAGACCCCUGAUAUGAACCCUGGCUUUCCCAGUAUUGCUAUCUGACAAUGACCCUAACAUACCUGCCACAAGGUCAACUGAUGGGGCGUAGGUGUUUUCCUGUCCCAUACAUACCUCA
rnacentral:lncRNA from 1 species